UACGGGGGGGGCAAGCGUUGUUCGGAAUUACUGGGCGUAAAGGGUCUGUAGGUGGCUUGCUAAGUCAGACGUGAAAUCCCUCGGCUUAACCGGGGAACUGCGUCUGAUACUGGCGAGCUUGAGUGCAGGAGAGGAACGCGGAAUUCCAGGUGUAGCGGUGAAAUGCGUAGAUAUCUGGAGGAACACCGGUGGCGAAGGCGGCGUUCUGGACUGCAACUGACACUGAGAAACGAAAGCCAGGGUAGCAAACGGG
rnacentral:rRNA from 1 species